CCUACGGGAGGCAGCAGUGGGGAAUAUUGCGCAAUGGGCGAAAGCCUGACGCAGCGACGCCGCGUGAGGGAUGAAGGUCUUCGGAUCGUAAACCUCUGUCAGCAGGGAAGAACGGUCACUGUGCUAAUCAGCAGUGAAUUGACGGUACCUGCAAAGGAAGCACCGGCUAACUCCGUGCCAGCAGCCGCGGUAAUACGGAGGGUGCGAGCGUUAAUCGGAAUUACUGGGCGUAAAGCGCUCGUAGGCGGUAUGUCAAGUCAAGGGUGAAAUCCCCGCGCUCAACGUGGGAACUGCCUUUGAAACUGGCAAACUGGAGUGUGUGAGAGGAUAGUGGAAUUCCAGGGGUAGGAGGGAAAUGCGUAGAUAUCUGGAGGAACAUCAGUGGCGAAGGCGACUAUCUGGCACAUAACUGACGCUGAGGAGCGAAAGCGUGGGUAGCAAACAGGAUUAGAUACCCUUGUAGUC
rnacentral:rRNA from 1 species